rnacentral:rRNA from 1 species
UUUCAACGGCCGCGGUAUUCUAACCGUGCAAAGGUAGCGUAAUCACUUGUCUUCUAAAUAAAGACCAGUAUGAAUGGCUAAAUGAGGACAAACCUGUCUCCUGCACCCAAUCAGUGAAAUUGAUCUUCUAGUACAAAAGCUAGAAUAAUCACAUAAGACGAGAAGACCCUGUGGAGCUUAAAAUUAUGACUACCACAACCUAGUCUGAAUUUUGAGUUGGGGCGACUUCGGAACAAAAUAAACCUUCCGAGCAAGGAAUAAAUAUUCCAACAAGGCAAACAAGCCGACAGCCGACCCAGUCACACUGAUCAACGAACCAAGUUACCCCAGGGAUAACAGCGCAAUCCCCUUCAAGAGUCCCUAUCGACAAGGGGGUUUACGACCUCGAUGUUGGAUCAGGACACCCCAAUGGUGUAGCCGCUAUUAAUGGUUCGUUUGUUCAACGAUUAACAGUCCUACGUGAUCUG